rnacentral:rRNA from 1 species
CCUUAACCUGGCCUUGACAUACUAAGAACUUUCCAGAGGAUGGAUUGGUGCCUUCGGGAACUUAGAUACAGGUGCUGCAUGGCUGUCGUCAGCUCGUGUCGUGAGAUGUUGGGUUAAGUCCCGCAACGAGCGCAACCCUUUUCCUUAUUUGCCAGCGGGUUAAGCCGGGAACUUUAAGGAUACUGCCAGUGACAAACUGGAGGAAGGCGGGGACGACGUCAAGUCAUCAUGGCCCUUACGGCCAGGGCUACACACGUGCUACAAUGGUCGGUACAAAGGGUUGCUACCUCGCGAGAGGAUGCUAAUCUCAAAAAGCCGAUCGUAGUCCGGAUCGCAGUCUGCAACUCGACUGCGUGAAGUCGGAAUCGCUAGUAAUCGCGGAUCAGAAUGCCGCGGUGAAUACGUUCCCGGGCCUUGUACACACCGCCCGUCACACCAUGGGAGUUUGUUGCACCAGAAGUAGGUAGUCUAACCGCAAGGAGGACGCUUACCACGGUGUGGCCGAUGACUGGGGUGAAGUCGUAACAAGGUAGGCGUAGAUGA